rnacentral:rRNA from 1 species
CAAUAGCGUAUAUUAAAGUUGUUGCAGUUAAAAAGCUCGUAGUUGGAUUUCUGGUUGAAGCGACCGGUCGGGCGUUGAUUCGUCUGCACUGGAGUCGGUUUUGGCCAUCCUCUAGGAAAGUGCGUCUGGUAUUAAGUUAUCGGGCGUAUGAUCCUGGUCUUUUACUGUGAAAAAAUUAGAGUGUUUAAAGCAGGCCUUCGCCUUGAAUACAUUAGCAUGGAAUAAUAAGAUAGGACUUUGGUCUAUUUUGUUGGUUUGCAGACCGAAGUAAUGAUUAAUAGGGAUAGUUGGGGGUAUUUAUAUUCCGAUGUCAGAGGUGAAAUUCUUAGAUUUUCGGAAGAGAAACUUAUGCGAAAGCAUUUACCAAGGAUGUUUUCAUUAA